AACCUUUUUAGUAAAAAAAAAAAAAAAUUGCAUGGAUAGUUUGUGUUUAAUCCAGAAAAAAGUCGGAGCCGGGUCAUAACCCGACCCGUAUAAUGAGGUUAUUAGGGUUCACAUUUUACGAAACGCGGCACUAUAAAUACUUAGACAAGGGUUUUGCAUUCUCAGAUUGAGUUACCUCAUCUCCUGCGGCAAUUACCAUCGUUCGGAGAAGCUUGAGAGCGUAGCGUUCGUUAUCAAACAUGAGGGCUAAGUGGAAGAAGAAGCGCAUGAGGAGGUUGAAGAGGAAGCGCCGAAAGAUGAGACAGAGAUCCAAGUAGGUCGAUUGGCAGAAGACAUACUUUCCAUCCUUCUAUGACGUGCUUCAUGACUUGUUAGAUAGUUCCAGUCUAAUGUUGUGAGGUUUGGUUGGGAGGGGAAGCUUCUCUCAAGACAUAGUUUAGCUGUACUGGUCUCCAAGACAAUUGUUUUUGAGUGUUAUUUUUUGGUAUUGAUGCAUGUACUGGUUUGGUAUACUGACUGAUAUAUUUAUAUGGCUUAUAUAUUAGCAUUUUAAAGCUGCAUGAAAAUUUGGUCUUUUCA